rnacentral:hammerhead_ribozyme from 1 species
AUACUGCUGAGGAGUCCCAUAAUAAGACGAAACGUCCGUCCAGUGC